CCUCCCUUAUUAAUUAAUUCAUCACCGUCGUCUCCGUCUCCAAUUCUGUCUAUCGAAGCUGCUUUGAAUCGCAGCUAACCGAUCGCUGCUCUGAGUCGCGUGUGGAUUCCGCCAUUCGAUUUUAGAGAUCGUGUUACGCCUGUGCUGUUCCUUUCUGCUUCUGAAACGAGCGAUCGAUGUCUUGUUUCGUUCGUCGUCCAAUUGGAGUGAGUUAGUGAGUGGCGCUACGCCCUGCCUUCAGAGGCAGCGAUCUCCGAUGGCAGCGGUUGGGGUUAUAUCCUGAUUUUCCAACGGAAAAGUGCUCAGCACUUCAUCAGGCACGCUCUUGAAGAAGAUAGGAGUUCCGUGAGAAACCCCUAAAGAAUGUACUAGCACAAUGACGUACAGUACCAUUAGUGUUAGUGGGAAGGACAAUGUUCAGACAUGAUGCUUCACUUUUACCAGGCUCCAUAGAUCAGAAUAAAUGAUCUAUAAUUCUAUAUAGUGUUAAAUCAUGGGAAAUGGAAAUCACAUAGUCAGAACAUGAACAUGGAUGCGACACCGUUGAACACUUGAACUACCGGACCUGGCCACGAGCUGUUGGCUACAUUGAACACACCAUAAUCUCGAGCAGGUCUGCCGCCUGGUGCAAUUUUAGUGGUUCCACUAGAAACACAGGCGCGGCCGUUGCCGCGCCCAUUUUGAGUCCGCCAGUGUACUUCAUAAUUCUUUUGUCAGGUUAAUUCAAUCUUUAAUGGAGAACUGUGAUUGUACUUUGUCAGGAAAGACCAUGUGAAAUAUCAUAAUAAGACAAGCAAUAUUGUUUGCAUAAGAAUCUAGGCUCAAGCAAAUAAUAAGAUCGUAUUUUGGAGAAGUGCCUACUAAGGGGGUGUUUGGAUACGAGGUACUAAACUUUAGGAGGGUCACAUCGGAUGUUCGAACACUAAUUAGGAGGAUUAAACAUGAGCUAAUUAUAAAACUAACUGCAGAACCCAUGUACUAAUCCGCGAGACGAAUCUAUUAAGCCUAAUUAAUCCAUCAUUAGCAACUGGUUACUGUAGCACCACAUUGUCAAAUCAUGGACUAAUUAGACUUAAUAGAUUCGUCUCGCAAAUUAGACUCCAUCUGUGUAAUUAGUUUUAUAAUUAGACUAUAUUUAAUACUUCUAAUUAGUAUCCAAACAUCCAAUAUGACAGGUACUAAAGUUUAGGAGGUGUUACCCAAACACCCCCUAAAUUUGAAGAGAUGCAGAUGUAUGCGCAUAUAUGCUUUUUUUUAAUUAGGAAAAUAUCCGAUCUUGAAGAUUCACAUGUGAAUGUCUAUGACCAUAAAGCGACAAAUUUGACCACAUAGCUAGAAAUUACACGAGUACUUAGACUCAAACCUCAAACCAAGAAACACAAAAGACAAGAAAGAAAGAAAUUAAGAAAUAAAGCUUGAAAGACUAAGCUUUGAACUUCUUUUAGGUUCUUCCUUCAACCUUGCUUUGGUCCUUAUGCAGUCACAAAACACCUCACAUCACCUAUCUUCUUAGAAACUUUUGAUGUUAGGAUCGUCGAGGGUCAUGUGCUACCUGGUAAUCCUUGUCGUCUAGAAACUACAUUGAGUCGAUCUCUGCCACGAAAACAAAUCGAACACCGCCAUCGCUCCAAGCUGACCAUGGUGUCGUCAUCAAGGACUUCAAGAUGACGCCUCAAGAGGAAAGCACCAUCAAGAUAUUGCCGUCGCCCGAACCAGUGAGUCGGUUCUUUGAUUUUCACCUGGAUCUGUCCCUGAAUGGUUGAGGUCCUCACGACAACACCUUCGAGAAGGAAAACGAUGCCCACGGCACCAUCGUCACCGGCAAACGGUCGAGGACCGAGCCAGGCUUUCGCCCGAGAACCUGCACACCCAAGAAAAGCACUGCAUGGCCACCGCCGACCAGGGGGUCGCACCACCAGAUCCUGGCAAUCGGAGGCGAGGACCCCCCACGGCGCCGGCCACAAGCCGAAGAUGCUGGCUCCGGCGUGCCACCGCUCUGCCGCGGGCCGCUGCCGCCGCCCUGCC
rnacentral:lncRNA from 1 species